GAAGGAUUAGUUAAUUAUAUAACAUCAGAAUGUCAAACUGAAAUAAUCGAGUAGAUAUCCUUCU
rnacentral:tRNA from 1 species